AAGUCUAGCCUGCCCAAUGAAGUUUUGAAUGGCCGCAGUAUUUUGACUGUGCGAAGGUAGCAUAAUCAUUAGUUUCUUAAUUAGAAACUGGAAUGAAGGGUUGAACGAGAAAAUAACUGUCUCUUUGUAAAUUAAUUAGAAAUUUAUUUUUAAGUUAAAAAGCUUAAAUAUUUUUAAAAGACGAGAAGACCCUAUAGAGUUUUAUACAUGAAGAUUUUAAUAAUUAAUUUAUUAUACUUAUAAUUUUAUUAUUUGUUGUAUUUGAUUGGGGUGAUUAGAAAAUUUGUUAAACUUUUUUUUUAUUUAAACAUUAGUAUAUGAUUUAUUGAUCCAUAUUUUAUGAUUAAAAGAUUAAAUUACCUUAGGGAUAACAGCGUAAUUUUUUUUGAGAGUCCUAAUCGAUAAAAAAGUUUGCGACCUCGAUGUUGGAUUAAAAUUAAUUUUUGGUGUAGAAGCUAAAAUAU
rnacentral:rRNA from 1 species